rnacentral:sRNA from 1 species
UACUGCAAAAUCUGGAAUGAGGGUUGGCGCAGAGCCAGGAUGGGGACUUUCAAAUAGUUAACUCCAAAUUCAUCUGCUAAAGAAGGAUAAGACCACUGAAUAAACAGAAGCAGGUAUAUCUGGUUACCACGGUGCAAAAUGAUUUAUGACCGGUCCUUCAAAUCAACCAGUGGGACCGGAGAAAUGUUUGGAUUGUAUAUGGAUGACUCCUGUUUCCGUUAGAAGUUGUUUCCCAUGUCCAAGUGGUCAUACACAUGAAAGGGUUGGUGACAGUUCCCAAGUAAAACGCAAGACGGAAGGAAGUGAUUUGUCCUGAUCUUUGCGCACGCGCUCUUUAGGAGUCUCAAAAAUGGAGGGCAGAAGACCCAGGGCGCGGUGCCCUAGGCUUCAUUCCAAGGAUCUGACCUGAGUCCUGAGUCUCUGUUAAGUCUGCCGUGGAGAGUAACUCCGACUCCUCGUGUCUCGACUUCCGAACUUCACAGAGCAUCCUCCUCAUGCCUGGCUUCUGAAUCCCUGUGGGCUGAGUAGCCCAACAAUCAGUCAAAGAGAAACAGGGUCAGGCCUGUAACGAAGAGGCCUUUAAAAAAAGACUUACAAAGAGAAAGACACCGUUUAAAUACGUGCAUACUCCAGAGGCCUUGCGAUAGGCACAUGAUCAUGUCAGAGCCAGCUGUGUCGGCGCCUGCUACAAGGACAGAAAUAACCUGGAUGAAGGAAAGCCACAGAGAAUCAAAAAAAAUGCUAAUGAAGAGAAUAAUAAGCAAACGGAAGGUGGAAAGGAAGAAGGCCAGAGAAUCGCAGAAAGAGGCGCAGGCGGCCUCUGAGGAAGCCUUGGAUUAUUCACGAUCUCAACAUAUCUG